rnacentral:rRNA from 1 species
CGCGUAGGCGGUCUGUUAAGUGUGAAGUGAAAUCUCCAGGGCUCAACCCGGAAACUGCUUCGCAUACUGGCAGACUGGAGGGAUGCAGAGGUUUGUGGAAUUCCUGGUGUAGCGGUGAAAUGCAUAGAUAUCAGGAGGAACACCCAUGGCGAAGGCAGCAAACUGGGCAUCAUCUGACGCUGAGGCGCGAAAGCGUGGGUAGCAAACAGGAUUAGAUACCCUGGUAGUCCACGCCCUAAACGAUGGAUACUAGGCGUAAGAGGUAUCGACCCCUCUUGUGCCGCAGCUAACGCAUUAAGUAUCCCGCCUGGGGAGUACGGCCGCAAGGUUGAA